rnacentral:rRNA from 1 species
AGUGGCGGACGGGUGAGUAACGCGUGAGAAUCUGCCCUUAGGACGGGGACAACAGUUGGAAACGACUGCUAAUACCCGAUGUGCCGAGAGGUGAAAUAUAAUUUGCCUGAGGAUGAGCUCGCGUCAGAUUAGCUAGUUGGUGAGGUAAUGGCUCACCAAGGCGACGAUCUGUAGCUGGUCUGAGAGGAUGAUCAGCCACACUGGGACUGAGACACGGCCCAGACUCCUACGGGAGGCAGCAGUGGGGAAUUUUCCGCAAUGGGCGCAAGCCUGACGGAGCAAUACCGCGUGAGGGAGGAAGGCUCUUGGGUCGUAAACCUCUUUUCUCAGGGACGACAACCAACGGUACCUGAGGAAUCAGCAUCGGUUAACUCCGUGCCAGCAGCCGCGGUAAGACGGAGGAUACAAGCGUUAUCCGGAAUUAUUGGGCGUAAAGAGUACGUAGGCGGCUCAUCAAGUCUAGGGUCAAAGUCCACAGCUUAACUGUGGGAAGGCCUUGGAAACUGAAGAGCUAGAGAGUGGUAGGGGUAGAGGGAAUUCCCAGUGUAGCGGUGAAAUGCGUAGAUAUUGGGAAGAACACCAGCGGCGAAAGCGCUCUACUGGACCACAACUGACGCUGAGGUACGAAAGCUAGGGGAGCGAAUGGGAUUAGAUACCCCAGUAGUCCUAGCCGUAAACGAUGGACACUAGGUGUUG